GCACAAGCAGUGGAGUAUGUGGUUUAAUUCGAAGCAACGCGAAGAACCUUACCAGGUCUUGACAUCCGAUGCAUAACGCAGAGAUGCGUGAAGUCCUUCGGGACAUCGAGACAGGUGGUGCAUGGUUGUCGUCAGCUCGGGUCGUGAGAUGUUGGGUUAAGUCCCGCAACGAGCGCAACCCUUAUUGCCAGUUACUACGUAAGAGGACUCUGGCGAGACUGCCGUUGACAAAA
rnacentral:rRNA from 1 species